AUGUUCUCUGUAGCUGUGCUGCUGCUGCUGGCUGCUGGAUCCUGUACUGAGGGUCAAACACUGACUGAGUCUGAACCAGUGGUUAAAACACCUGGAGAGUCCCACAGACUGACCUGCACAUAUUCUGGCUUCAGUAGUGAUAUACACGCUGCUUGGAUCAGACAGGCUGCUGGAAAAGGACUGGAGUGGAUCGCUUAUAUCAACAGUGGCAGCAGCUACAUCUACUACUCUCAGUCAGUCAGAGGGCGGUUUACCAUCUCCAGAGACAACAGCAGAAGGCAGGUGUAUCUGCAGAUGAACAGUCUGAAGACUGAAGAUUCUGCUGUUUACUUCUGUGCUCGAAGAGACACAGUGACUGAAGACAGUAGAGCAGCUGCACAAAAACCUCCACAGACAACAAACAGCAAAGUGAUCUCAAUGAUAUCUGAAUGUUCUCACCAUAAUCCAGUUAAUAUCGUCUGUGGAUUGUAAACACCUCAUAUUAAUGUGUUGUUUGAAUUGUAUUUAUGAUGUUACAUUAGUCAGCCACAAAAGAAAACAUCAACAGUUAUUAAGACUAACAAGGAACAAGGAAAUGUUUGA